rnacentral:rRNA from 1 species
AAACGCUGGCGGCGUGCUUACUACCAUGCAAGUCAGAACGGUGGCAGUAGCCAAUACUUCCAAGUUGUGCUGAACUGUGUGUAAGUACUGCGUUGUAAACUGCCCCUGAAGUGUGUGGAUAACAGCUCGAAAGUGGCUGCUAAUACCUGCAUGUUGUUGUGAGAAUUAGAACCUGGCAACUAAAGCAGUAAUGCGCUUCGGGAGGGGCCUGCGUCCCAUCAGCUAGUUUGUAGGGUAACGGGCUUACCAGGGCGACCAACUGGUAAGGGGACCUUGAGAGGUGUGAUCCCCCCAGCACUGGGCACUUGAAACACGGGCCAGACACCUACUGGUUGCAGCAGUAGGGAAUAUUGCCCAAUGGGCGAAAGGCUGAGGCAGCAACGCCGCGUGCGCCAUGAAUGCCUUCGGGUCGUAAAGCGCUUUUCUGGAGGACGAGGAAGGACGGUACUCCAGGAAGAAGGCUCGGCUAACUUACGUUCCCGCAGCCGCGGUAAAACGUAUGAGCCCAAGCGUUAUCCCGAAUUCACUGGGGCGUAAAGCGCGUAGCAGGCGGGCUGCGCCAGUUGGGGUGAGAAAUCUCCCCGGGUCCAACUGGGGGAGAGGCCCGGUCCAAGAAAUUGGCGUUAGGCUACAGA